rnacentral:tRNA from 1 species
CAAAAUAUAACUUAACCAAAGUAUUUCGCUUACACCGAAAAAAUAUUAGUGAAACCCUGAUUAUUUUGAG